rnacentral:sRNA from 1 species
GCGAGACAGGUGGGCCGGUGGUCGAGCGCGACCGAUAAACUGUUUCUCGGACGGCGCCGGGCGCAGCCCCCGAGCCCGUCCGCCCAUGAUCAGCCAGCAGCCGCUGCAACCCCAGGGAG